rnacentral:rRNA from 1 species
GAUCAUGGCUCAGGAUGAACGCUAGCUACAGGCUUAACACAUGCAAGUCGAGGGGCAGCAUGGUCUUAGCUUGCUAAGUACUGAUGGCGACCGGCGCACGGGUGAGUAACACGUAUCCAACCUGCCGUCUACUCUUGGACAGCCUUCUGAAAGGAAGAUUAAAUACAAGAUGGCAUCAUGAGUCCGCAUGUUCAUAUGAUUAAAGGUAUUCCGGUAGACGAUGGGG